rnacentral:rRNA from 1 species
UCAGUACGAGCGAUCGGCAUAUUGGGCGUAAGCGCGCGCAGGCGGUCCCUUAAGUCUGAUGUGAAAGCCCACGGCUCAACCGUGGAGGGUCAUUGGAAACUGGGGGACUUGAGUGCAGGAGAGGAGAGCGGAAUUCCACGUGUAGCGGUGAAAUGCGUAGAGAUGUGGAGGAACACCAGUGGCGAAGGCGGCUCUCUGGCCUGCAACUGACGCUGAGGCGCGAAAGCGUGGGGAGCAAACAGGAUUAGAUACCCCCCGUAGUCCUGAG